GGCCUGUAUGAUUUGUCAAAAUAGAAGAAGAGGUGAAACAGAUAGAAGGCUACCAGUUAGAUGUAUCAAGUCUUUAUUCAUUUCAGUAAUCUGGACUCCUAAUAUUUUCAUCCUGUAGCUGAUCUUAAUGAAAUCGUAGGGAAGGUCAGAAGAAACUGGGAGAACAACAACAAUCAAAACGACGAUCUGUAGCAAAGCAUGAGCAUUUUGCUCAACCGGAUUCUUGAUGUGUACACUUCGAGCCAGAGCCAACGCACAAGUCCUUUCCCUUACCUCAUGGACCACUUGGUCGGUGUCUAGGUUUCUGACGCUGCCAAGCCGCCUCUUCGUCAACCCCGGUGGACGACAAACUCGACUGCCGGGAACAAUAUGUCCGAAGUGUUCGAUCUCCCAAACGGAACUAUCAUUGAUGUUUCCGGCGGCGUGACAUAUGUCGGCCCAGCUGAGGCUGAUUUUUGUGCCCCUAGCGGCAUGAGGGAGAUCGCUAUAGUUGAUAGCGGACACAACACAAUCUUCCUGCGUUUUUUUGGUGAGUCUACUUAUCUACUCGGCGACCAGCUGUUAUCUGCAGAACAGAACAAUGCAGUUGUUGUGGCCUCCAACAUGGAGGUUGUUCAUCAAUCAAAGUCUCUUGAUAACACCAGUGCCACCACUGUCACAUUUGAGCCAUGCGCAAAAUGCUCUCAGUUUAAUAUUCUCGAAGG